UACGAAGGGGCUAGCGUUGCUCGGAAUCACUGGGCGUAAAGCGCACGUAGGCGGAUUGCUAAGUCAGAGGUGAAAUCCUGGAGCUCAACUCCAGAACUGCCUUGAUACUGGCGACCUUGAGUCCGGGAGAGGUGAGUGGAACUGCGAGUGUAGAGGUGAAAUUCGUAGAUAUUCGCAAGAACACCAGUGGCGAAGGCGGCUCACUGGCCCGGUACUGACGCUGAGGUGCGAAAGCGUGGG
rnacentral:rRNA from 1 species